ensembl:snRNA U6 U6 spliceosomal RNA
AUAAUGCAGCCAUUAAAAACAAUAAAUUAGCUGGAAUGAUACAGAGAAGAUUAGCAUGGUCCAUGUGCAAGAAUGACAUGCAAAUUUGUGAAGCAUUCCACACAAAA